AUUGGGUUAUUUUUAGCCCAUUUAACGGAAUAUAGGAUAAGAAUAUAGGAGAGAACAUAUUUUAAUGCAGAAAAUGGGUUGUUUUUCAACCCAAAAGAUAGUUUCAUUGUUACAAAAACACUGUUUUAAUUUUAUUUCAUAAAUGGGUUCAUAUUUUCAGGAUUAUUUUUACCCUUUGAAAAUGUCAAAUAUAGUGGGGAAAAUAAGUAUUGAACACGUGGACAUUUUUUUUUAAUAAAUAUAUUUCCAAUGAGGUUAUUCACAUGAAAUUUUCACCAGACAUCAGUAUUUACUCACGAAAUCUGGAAAUAUAAAGAAUGAUGUGUUCAAUACUUAUUUCCCCCACUGUAUAUAGGUGAUCUCAACUUGAAGUUAACACAAAGUCUGUGGUAUUUCCAAUCAUAUCAGUUUUCACAUUGCUGAUGUCUCCAAAUAUCAGAUGAAGCUGACUUCUGGGCACUGGGACAAAUAUGUCAACAUGGUAUCUACUUCAUUUUUACAUAAGAAGGUAUUCAGAAAUGUAUUGCUAGAGUUGCUAAAGUGGUGUUUAUAUAUAGACUUUGAAGCAAAUUACUCAAAUAAGACAUAUUUAAGACAAAAACGUCAGAUUUUGAUCAAAGGAGAGAUUUAAAAUAUCCACAAAAAAAAUGAGUAACUAACUUAUGAUCCAGUGUGCAUUACAAUCAAGUAAGCCAAAGCUAACAAAGAUAGCCGUGCAUUUAAAGUCAUGUAAACUGAACUGUUCUUGCAGAUUUUUGCUUUUUCUUAUUGGUUUUAUGGAGAAAUAUAUUGACACAAACCUUCAAUCAAUCACGUUAAUUUUUAACACAGCUGCAUAUCUAGUUCAGGGCAACACAUUUUGUGUUGCUUUUAACACAAUUAGUGUGUUAGCACACACGCUGUGUGUUAAACAUUUCCACACAAAGAUGUGUUAGAAGAUAACACAAAAAUGUAUUUGUUUAUACUUUUUCCCUACAAUUAUCCUAAAAUGCAAUUUGUUUGUAUGCUAAAAUUCUACUAAAAUGCUCACAAAAUAAACAAUUGCAUGAAAUUAAGGUGAACUUUAUUCAAAUCUUUAAAACAUUUGACAUAAGAAUUGGAGUUGAUGAAUCGUCUUACAAAUCUCUCCGCCAUCUGGGAAGACAAGAGUCUAACUCCCUUCGAUUUGAAAAUCUGUAAAAGAGCAAAAAGAGUGUUGAUUAGUUGGUUAUCUACAAAAUAUGGGCAAAUGCAUUUGGGCUUUAACUGAGAAAUUGUGUUACAGAAUCCCAAAUUGUGUAAUUUUGGACCUCCACUCUCCUAACGAACAUAACGGCACUGUAGACUCGCGAAACUUGCGGUUAUUUAUUUUCCAGCCUUUAGCACCUCACCGCCAAUUUUUUGUACAACCUAAUUAAGUCAACCAACUUUACAAAGAUAGUGGAAAGCAUUACAACCUAAACCCCAUCCUCUCUUUUUGUCACGUUAACCUUGUGAAGAACUUUUGCGCUCGACAUUACCGAGCUAGCUAAGAUCCGUUAGCCACUGACUGUCUGCACCUGUUAACCAGCAUUAACAUUCACUGAAUACAUGAAGAAACAUGGCCCUAACCCUUCCUCCUAAUGCUAAUUACUACAGCUUGCCUUGUCCAAAGCACUUGCUAGAUGCAGUUAACAUUAACCCAUUCUCUGUAUUACAUCAUGGUGAACAGCUGUAAUGCUACGCUAUCGUUAAAUUUCAAAAAGGUAAUGGGAAUCUCUAAAAUUAACGCGAGCUGUAUGCUAAAGUAAUGUUAUCAACUCCGGUGAGCGUCUAGGUUAGCAUCACUCAUCCAGCUAGCUAGCCCUAACUCGGCGCCUCAGAUAAGAUGCAGACCCAGAGAAUUACAGAAUAAGCUCAGUCCAUAUUUCACAGCCAACAUAAACACAUGACACUAGUAGUGUAACUCCAACACUGAGGAAGCAAUACAUGAUAUUCACUGUUGAAGCCGUCGCGAUAGGUAAAGUGAAUUAUCACUCAUUGAGUUACUGUUUUCCAGUGAAUACAUUUUCGAGAAGUCCCUGCCUAAAUAUCAUAAACUUGGCCAGGCAUUUUCAGCAGCGUUAAAACUAAAUAGUGAUGAACGGUAAUUUACCUGUGGUCAUUUGGUUUCCUCUCCUCAAAAACCACUACCUCUACCUGAGGUGAAUUCAAACAUUUGAUUUGAUUUGAUUUGACCCAAGGAGCUGGGCUGAUGCAGCGGAGUGAAGCAGGGGUGCAUUGAUUCACCUGUCAGUUAAUAUAACCCAGCAUUUGGGUUACACAAAACUACCAAAAAACUACCCAAGACUGAGAAAAUAAGCCAAUUAAAUGACCCAAAAGGCUCGACCCAUUAGGGUAUGCUAAAGAUUGGGUAGAAAAAAUAACCCAACAUUUUUAGAGUGUACCUUACCUUAAACCCAAGUUUAGUAGCUUUUUCCUCAGAGAGUGUUAAGACGUCCUUAAAUAAAUGUGUGACAUGAAUUAUUUAGGAAUGUAAGGUUUCUGCAGCAUACCAGCAGCAUUGUUUUCAGUGCUACAUAUUGUAUCUUGUCUGAGGUCUUUCAUAACCCCACCAAGCCAUCCACCCACCCUUUCAGACUAAUCAGAUACAUUAGCACUUCAGCAGUUUAUUUAAAAACUUUUGCAAUCACAGCUGCCAUAUAAAAAAAUAAUUAAUAACUUCUCUAGUAAUAGUCAAGACCCACAGUGUGGCAAUUUUCACUUCCUUCUCAUUCUUGGAACCUUUUGUCCUCAGCCGUUGGUCAUUGAAGUUUAGGUCAAGUUCAGAUACUAAGCAAUAUUUCACUUUUUAGCUUUUAGAACUAGUGUUCUGAUGCAUGGUGAAAUGCUGUUCAAUGUCUAGAGUAUUUAUUGUAUACAGUAUAUGCUUCAUUAAUCAUUCUGCUGACAUUUUAUCAAUAAAAACAUCCAUAAGAAUUCAUACAGAAGAAUUUGACCAUUAACGCUACAGCACCUUUUAAAGUACCAAGCUUUUCUAGUUUUGAGGAGAAAGAGUGAUCUUAUGAUGAACCACCUUGAUCUCAAGACUUAUAUUUUUUCUUUAUGCCACCACUCUGACCUUCUAGUGUCUGAGGUGGUUUGCUAUUUCUAUCUUUACCAGUGCAUCUUCUUUCUGUUUUAACAAUGUACCAAAUAGAUUAUUUUAACAUGGUAUGUCUGAUAUUAAUGGUGAUCAUGAUUUUGAAAAACGUAAAACACUCCAGAUUUAAAAGCCAUAUACAGAAAAUAUAUUUUAUUAUCUGUUUUGUGUAUGAACUAAUAAUGCAGUAACACUCCUGAUCAGAAAACAACUGCCUUUUAAUAUCCAAUUACUGUUCAAAUUGAGCUUUGUAAGUUUUACACAAUAAUUUCAAAUGCCAUCAAAUUACAGCAAACAGUUUGAUCUUUACCUUUAUUCUGGAGUAGAGUGAAUAAAGGUCACUUCCAUGGAAGGGAGCAUUACUGUAUCUUGUGGAGGAGGAUGUGUGUUAUGCAAUCUUUCAGUUUCACUGGAGGCAGAAUGGCUUUAAAAGGACCCUAAGCUCAGCUUCUUAACUGAGAACAUCUGAUGCACUUGACAAGAGUGGUCUCCUGAAUUUAUAUCUUUUUAAUUUAUUGUAUUAUAAAUUACAAAAUAAUGAAACUCUCAGCUCUAGCCAUCACUUUUUUAGCCUUUGUUCUUAUAUCAAUGACAGAAGGACUUAUACAGCCCCGAUGCUGGUGUACAAAAAUGGCGACAAAGGAAAUCUCUGAUCAUAGAAUUGUGAAGAUGCAGACAUUUCAGCCUGGUCCGCGCUGCAAACAUCUAGAAAUAAUCGCUACAGUGAAAUUCAGGAAAGAACAUACAUUGUGCCUCAACCCCAAAGAUGCAUGGGUUCAGAAGGCCCUGAAAAGAAGGAACCUGGCACAAUAGAUUGCUACUGCAUUGAAGAUGGUUGAAGGAGAAGAAAAUUAGGAAGAGUUGAUGAAGUAAAAUUCUCUUACCACCUCAGUAUUUCUUCACUCAUCAUAUGAGUAAUUAUCUAGGUUCUAACGGAAUAUGUAUAAAAAUUAUACAUAGUCUAUAUUACUGUAAUAAAAUCAACAUUGUCUAGAUUUUUUUAUUAUACAACAAUUUAUGAACAUUUCACUAAUAUUACUAAUAAAAGUCUUUUGAACAUUCAAUACUGUCUGUGUUAUUCACAACUUCAUAGUAAUGGCUCUAAAUAACUUGGACAUACACCAGUAUAAAUAAUUUUAAAACUCUCUAAAUCCUACAACGUGACAAAUAAAUGAAUUAAGCCUACAAAUAUAUCUUAAAUCUUAAUCUAUAUUUUUUUUCACAAUUUGCUCCCUUUGUUACUAUAGUUGUCUUAGGCUUUAUCAAUAUAUAGCAAGAAAAUAUAUACACUAUAAGGCCAAAAGUAUGUGGCCAACUGACCAUCACAACAAGAUGUGAUUGCUGAACAAACCAUUCCAAAACCAUGGGCAUUAAUAUAGAGCUGGUCUUCCGUGUGCUGCUAUAAAAGCCUCCACUCUUCUGGGAAGGAUUUCCUCUAGAUUUUGGAAUGUGGCUAUGGGGAUUUGUGUUCAAUCAGCCACAAGAGCAUUAGUCAGUUCAGGCACAGAUGUUGACAAGAAGUCCUGGCUCACAACAGUCAUUCCAAUUCACCCCAAAGGUGUUCAGUGGGGUUGAGGUCAUGGUUCUAUUCAGGCCACUUGACUUCUUCUAUACCAGCAUCAGCAAACCCUGUCUUCAUUGACCUUACUUUGUGCACAGGGGCAUUUUCAUGCUGGGACAUGUGUGAGCCCCUUAAUUCCAGUGACAGUAAUUCAUAAUGAUACAGCAUACAUCACUUUGUGGCAACAGCUUGCGGAGUAAAAAUGGGUGUCAUGGUCAGGAGUCCACAUACUUUACACCAUAUAGUGUACAUUCUAGGACCUGUAAUUUCAAGGACGAGUAAUUAUUUUAUAUGGUAUCAUAAACUAGCAUCUGACUGGCUUAUCACUUGAAUGACAUGGGAUCUUUAUUGGCUAAAAUAACAAAACUAUUCAGCAUGGUGUUGGCAACCUAAUAUUAUCGCCUUAAUCAAUCAAUCGAUCGAUCAAUCAAUCAGUCAGUCAGCUAGUGCAGUGUAUAGCUUAACUACAGGUCCAGGGUCCUGGGUUCGAUCCUGAACUCAGGUUACUAUCUGUGCAGUGUUUUGCAUAAUCUCCCCAUUUGCAGAGGUAGGUGUCCUUGGGGAAAGAUGAACAAUAAAUGAAUGAAUGCAUAGCCAAUACAAUUAUUUU
ensembl:lncRNA